rnacentral:rRNA from 1 species
UGUGGAUUGUCCUUUGGACAAUGGUAGGAGAGCGUUCUAAGGGCGUUGAAGCAUGAUCGUAAGGACAUGUGGAGCGCUUAGAAGUGAGAAUGCCGGUGUGAGUAGCGAAAGACGGGUGAGAAUCCCGUCCACCGAUUGACUAAGGUUUCCAGAGGAAGGCUCGUCCGCUCUGGGUUAGUCGGGUCCUAAGCUGAGGCCGACAGGCGUAGGCGAUGGAUAACAGGUUGAUAUUCCUGUACCACCUAUAAUCGUUUUAAUCGAUGGGGGGACGCAGUAGGAUAGGCGAAGCGUGCGAUUGGAUUGCACGUCUAAGCAGUAAGGCUGAGUAUUAGGCAAAUCCGGUACUCGUUAAGGCUGAGCUGUGAUGGGGAGAAGACAUUGAGUCUUCGAGUCGUUGAUUUCACACUGCCGAGAAAAGCCUCUAGAUAGAAAAUAGGUGCCCGUACCGCAAACCGACACAGGUAGUCAAGAUGAGAAUUCUAAGGUGAGCGAGCGAACUCUCGUUAAGGAACUCGGCAAAAUGACCCCGUAACUUCGGGAGAAGGGGUGCUCUUUAGGGUUAACGCCCAGAAGAGCCGCAGUGAAUAGGCCCAAGCGACUGUUUAUCAAAAACACAGGUCUCUGCUAAACCGUAAGGUGAUGUAUAGGGGCUGACGCCUGCCCGGUGCUGGAAGGUUAAGAGGAGUGGUUAGCUUCUGCGAAGCUACGAAUCGAAGCCCCAGUAAACGGCGGCCGUAACUAUAACGGUCCUAAGGUAGCGAAAUUCCUUGUCGGGUAAGUUCCGACCCGCACGAAAGGCGUAACGAUUUGGGCACUGUCUCAACGAGAGACUCGGUGAAAUCAUAGUACCUGUGAAGAUGCAGGUUACCCGCGACAGGACGGAAAGACCCCGUGGAGCUUUACUGUAGCCUGAUAUUGAAAUUCGGCACAGCUUGUACAGGAUAGGUAGGAGCCUUUGAAACGUGAGCGCUAGCUUACGUGGAGGCGCUGGUGGGAUACUACCCUAGCUGUGUUGGCUUUCUAACCCGCACCACUUAUCGUGGUGGGAGACAGUGUCAGGCGGGCAGUUUGACUGGGGCGGUCGCCUCCUAAAAGGUAACGGAGGCGCUCAAAGGUUCCCUCAGAAUGGUUGGAAAUCAUUCAUAGAGUGUAAAGGCAUAAGGGAGCUUGACUGCGAGACCUACAAGUCGAGCAGGGUCGAAAGACGGACUUAGUGAUCCGGUGGUUCCGCAUGGAAGGGCCAUCGCUCAACGGAUAAAAGCUACCCCGGGGAUAACAGGCUUAUCUCCCCCAAGAGUUCACAUCGACGGGGAGGUUUGGCACCUCGAUGUCGGCUCAUCGCAUCCUGGGGCUGUAGUCGGUCCCAAGGGUUGGGCUGUUCGCCCAUUAAAGCGGUACGCGAGCUGGGUUCAGAACGUCGUGAGACAGUUCGGUCCCUAUCCGUCGUGGGCGUAGGAAAUUUGAGAGGAGCUGUCCUUAGUACGAGAGGACCGGGAUGGACAUACCUCUGGUGUACCAGUUGUCGUGCCAACGGCAUAGCUGGGUAGCUAUGUGUGGACGGGAUAAGUGCUGAAAGCAUCUAAGCAUGAAGCCCCCCUCAAGAUGAGAUUUCCCAACUUCGGUUAUAAGAUCCCUCAAAGAUGAUGAGGUUAAUAGGUUCGAGGUGGAAGCAUGGUGACAUGUGGAGCUGACGAAUACUAAUCGAUCGAAGACUUAAUCAA